AAACUCUCGUUAAGGAACUCGGCAAGAUGACCCCGUAACUUCGGGAGAAGGGGUGCUUUUUAGGGUGAAUAGCCCAGAAAAGCCGCAGUGAAUAGGCCCAGGCGACUGUUUAGCAAAAACACAGGUCUCUGCGAAGCCGCAAGGCGAAGUAUAGGGGCUGACACCUGCCCGUUCUGGAAGGUUAAGGGGAGAGGUUAGCGCAAGCGAAGCUUUGAACCGAAGCCCCAGUAAACGGCGGCCGUAACAAUCACGGUCCUAAGGUAGCGAAAUUCCUUGUCGGGUAAGUUCCGACCCGCACGAAAGGUGUAACGAUCUGGGCACUGUCUCAACGAGAGACUCGGUGAAAUUAUAGUACCUGUGAAGAUGCAGGUUACCCGCGACAGGACGGAAAGACCCCGUGGAGCUUUACUGCAGCCUGAUAUUGAAUUUUGGUACAGCUUGUACAGGAUAGGUAGGAGCCUGAGAAGCCGGAGCGCUAGCUUCGGUGGAGGCGUUGGUGGGAUACUACCCUGGCUGUAUUGAAAUUCUAACCCGCGCCCCUUAUCGGGGUGGGAGACAGUGUCAGGUGGGCAGUUUGACUGGGGCGGUCGCCUCCUAAAGAGUAACGGAGGCGCCCAAAGGUUCCCUCAGAAUGGUUGGAAAUCAUUCGUAGAGUGUAAAGGCACAAGGGAGCUUGACUGCGAGACCUACAAGUCGAGCAGGGACGAAAGUCGGGCUUAGUGAUCCGGUGGUUCCGCAUGGAAGGGCCAUCGCUCAACGGAUAAAAGCUACCCCGGGGAUAACAGGCUUAUCUCCCCCAAGAGUCCACAUCGACGGGGAGGUUUGGCACCUCGAUGUCGGCUCAUCGCAUCCUGGGGCUGUAGUCGGUCCCAAGGGUUGGGCUGUUCGCCCAUUAAAGCGGUACGCGAGCUGGGUUCAGAACGUCGUGAGACAGUUCGGUCCCUAUCCGUCGCGGGCGCAGGAAAUUUGAGAGGAGCUGUCCUUAGUACGAGAGGACCGGGAUGGACGCACCGCUGGUGUACCAGUUGUCCUGCCAAAGGCAUAGCUGGGUAGCUACGUGCGGACGGGAUAAGUGCUGAAAGCAUCUAAGCAUGAAGCCCCCCUCAAGAUGAGAUUUCCCAUGGCGCAAGCUAGUAAGAUCCCUGAAAGAUGAUCAGGUUGAUAGGUCAGAGGUGGAAGCGUGGCGACAUGUGGAGCUGACUGAUACUAAUAGAUCGAGGACUUAACC
rnacentral:rRNA from 1 species